rnacentral:piRNA from 1 species
UUCCUGUGCCCAAGUUUGAUUUUAAACAAAGA